GACAGAGGUGCCGAGCGUUAGGCGGAAUCACUGGGCUUAAAGCGUGUGUAGGCGGAUCGUUAAGUACCUUGUGAAAUCCCCCCGGCUCAACCGGGGAACUGCUGGGUAUACUGGCGAUCUUGAGCGAUCUAGGGGCAGAUGGAACAAGUGGUGGAGCGGUGAAAUGCGUAGAUAUCACUUGGAACGCCAAAGGUGAAAACAGUCUGCUGGGGAUCUGCUGACGCUGAGGCGCGAAAGCCAGGGGAGCAAACGGG
rnacentral:rRNA from 1 species